AACGAACGCUGGCGGCAGGCUUAACACAUGCAAGUCGAACGCCCCGCAAGGGGAGUGGCAGACGGGUGAGUAACGCGUGGGAAUCUACCGUACCCUACGGAACAACAGUUGGAAACGACUGCUAAUACCGUAUACGCCCUUAGGGGGAAAGAUUUAUCGGGGUAUGAUGAGCCCGCGUUGGAUUAGCUAGUUGGUGGGGUAAAGGCCUACCAAGGCGACGAUCCAUAGCUGGUCUGAGAGGAUGAUCAGCCACAUUGGGACUGAGACACGGCCCAAACUCCUACGGGAGGCAGCAGUGGGGAAUAUUGGACAAUGGGCGCAAGCCUGAUCCAGCCAUGCCGCGUGAGUGAUGAAGGUCUUAGGAUUGUAAAGCUCUUUCACCGAUGAAGAUAAUGACGGUAGUCGGAGAAGAAGCCCCGGCUAACUUCGUGCCAGCCGCCGCAGUAACAC
rnacentral:rRNA from 1 species